rnacentral:rRNA from 1 species
AACGAACGCUGGCGGCAUGCCUAACACAUGCAAGUCAAACGAGAUCUUCGGGUCUAGUGGCGCACGGGUGCGUAACGCGUGGGAAUCUGCCCUUUGGUUCGGAAUAACAGUUGGAAACGACUGCUAAUACCGGAUGAUGACGAAAGUCCAAAGAUUUAUCGCCAGAGGAUGAGCCCGCGUAGGAUUAGCUAGUUGGUGUGGUAAAGGCGCACCAAGGCGACGAUCCUUAGCUGGUCUGAGAGGAUGAUCAGCCACACUGGGACUGAGACACGGCCCAGACUCCUACGGGAGGCAGCAGUGGGGAAUAUUGGACAAUGGGCGAAAGCCUGAUCCAGCGAUGCCGCGUGAGUGAUGAAGGCCUCAGGGUUGUAAAGCUCUUUUACCCGGGAUGAUAAUGACAGUACCGGGAGAAUAAGCUCCGGCUAACUCCGUGCCAGCCGCCGCAGUAA